AGCAUGGUAGUGUAGUGGUAAGCACUGCUACCUCACAGCAAGAAGAUUGCGGGUUCGAAUCUGGCCUAGGGUC